UGUUGUACCAUAUCCCUUAGUGAUAGGGGAAACGUAGACACAGAGGGGUGAGUGGCCUGCCCCUAAAUCAGACUGAGUUUAGCAAGGCCCACAGAUAGGGCCUGACUUGUGUUCCUCCUAGAACACAGGUCCACUUCAUGUCUAAAAGACGUGAAAGAGGCCUGCCAGUGGUUCACUCACCACCCAAGAGAUUCUUGGAAAAUAACUCUCCCAAAAUCAGGCUCAAGGACACCAAGCCCAUAGAAAGAAUUAGCAUGGAGUCGUUCAUUGGCAGAUAAAGAGAACAUCUUCAAAUUCCUUGCUUAAGAGCUUCCUAUGGGUUUGGCUCAUGAAAUUCAUUUGGCCCUGGAGAAAUCGCUUGUCAGCAUGAAGCCAAGCUGAUGAAUAAUUCUGACAACAUCACACACCAAAUUAGCAAACUGGCCAACUUCAGAUUUCUCGACCAGCUACUAUUUUUGCCAAGUUUUUAAUUGUGAAUGGACAUGAUAAGGUUAUCCCUCUCCCUUCACUUAGAAUAAAUAUUUGUACACUCACUGACAUUACCCUCUCCAUAUAAUGCAUUUAUUCUGUCAUCGUGUUAUUGGUGGCUUAAAGGGAUAAUAUACUCUGCUAGACCAUAGCAUUUUUAUGAAAGAUGAGGUCAGGGAAUACUUUGUGGGAGAUAAUAGUGCAAUUUUAGAAAUGUUGAAGGUAAACUAAUUUAGCACUAGAAAGAAGAAAGGGCCUGGGAAAGGUUCUGAAGUCAAAAGCUGCUGUUGAAUUUCGGCCCCGUCACUCAGAAACUAGUGAAGAAUUUUCAUCAGAUGGAUUUUGUUUCCAAAAUUUUUCUGCUUGUAAUUCUCUAAAUACCUGCUAUUGAGAUCUGGACCAUGCCCUGCCAGAUAGGCGGCUGAGAAUGAAAGCCAUUGAUUGGCAUGGGGUUGGUGGAAAAGGAAAUUCUUCUUUUAUAAAAUAAAGGGCAUGAUGUUGGAUGAAAA